UACUCCAACAGGCUGCACCAGCAGAAGAAAGCGCUGUCACCACCUUUCUCAGAGAAAAAGGGCUUCAUCCCAGAAAGCUACUGAAUUAGAUUGUACUGCCUUUCACAGGGGUUCAUGUAAUCUUUAUGGAAAACUGACUGACAGACUGUGGCUUGCUGUAAAGUGUUAAUUUCUCCGUUACCUGUGCUCUCUAGGCAGCUAACCAAGCUAACAGGGCACGAAUGGAUUAUUUUUGUUCCUGGAUAGAUUUUUAGCACCAUUUAGCCAAAGAAGCAGAACAGGGAGUCUGCAUCUAUGGAAAGCAAUAUUUUCGUCUUGAUUGUGCCCCACAGGACUCUGUCUCUCAGAGCACAGCUUCAGACUUAAUGAAUAAUCCAGAGAGCACACACAGGGCUGCAGGUGACAGAAAGCCGUGGCUUCCACUGAUUUUUCUCUGCUACUCAUGGUAGUGGUGGAAAUGGGGAUUUAGAUCAGGACAUGCUACAGUCCCCAUCCAACACGAUCUAGUCCCCCUUCCAAGCCCACCAACAUCACAGUUAUCUUUGUGGCUGCAAAGUGCAGAUGGCUGGAAACACAUGCAUUGCAGAUCCAGCUGAAUGGACUUUCUAGUCCAUCUUCCACUCCAUGGAGAAAGACAGCGCCAACAAUGCACAUGCGCUCACACAGAAGACAACCAUGUCGGAUUCAUUUCCACCUCUCAGCAAAGCUUGAAACCUGGAACACCCGCACACAAGACCCAGGCUAUCUUCCUGUGCUGCACAGCAAACACCCCAGUGUGCUCUCUCGGAACUUGGCAAGCAUCUGGACGGGACAGCUUUCCUAUACACUGGGAAAUCAAAAUAGAAAGCACCAGCUUUUUGCCAAUUCUGCAACCUGAGGACAAAUUUCAGGGUCAUUUUUUUUUCUUAUUUAACUUAAUCGUUUCCCUAUUUCAGUACUAAAAAUAAAGUCAAAUAAUUUACUUAGGUGUUCAAUAUAUAUUAAGGAAACAGAAACAUUUUAGGACCAGAUAUCAGCAAAAUCCCAAAACAUGUUCCUAGAUUACCCGUUCCAAAGCACAGGUUACGCUCUGCCUCAAUAUGAAGAGUAGAAAGCAUAACUUCCAUAUAUGAUACAUUGCUUGCUUCAGAUUGGGCUGUUUCCUGCUUGAUACUUCUGUAGUAAUUCUGUUUGUUUUUUCAGAAAAAGCUUUUCCACAUCAUAGAAGAGGAUGUGAGAAUAUCGUAAGGCCCAUGUAGGAGAUGCCUCAGUGAUGUCCUAUUGGCUGGACGGGAAUGAUGCAUACAUGCAUGAAGAGGAGAAGUGACUGUGUGCGAAGGAAAUACACAAAAUCAAGUCAGCCAAAAUCCUAAUGUGGAUGGGUGAAGGGCUCAGGAAGGCUAACCCCCACUCAAGACAUUAUUGGUAAAUUAUGACUACUGUGGAAGGAACGGGUUCUUUAAUGGCUGAUGUCCACUUAUAAGUUGCUAUGACAUAGUUGAGGAAGUAUUCUUGUAGGAUAGUUAAGUGUCUUUUGGGUGUAUACCCAUGCUAUAAUACAUAGAUGCAAAGAAACUGGGUAAUAAGGAGGGUUCCAAGGGAAGAAAUGAGAUUCUCACUCAGAAGGGGAAAUAAAAUACUCAUCAGAGGUGAAUGGAGAGAGGGAACUGGGUAAAAGAGGGGGUGAGGAGGAUGACAGGGGUGGGGAUCAGAUGAGGGCGGCAGGAGAGGGCUGGGAGUGAGAAUGAAAAUCAGCUGGGGGGGUGUGGCAUCUCCAGUAUUAGCUGUAGACCUGGGAUAAGGAGUCUCCCAGGAAACUAUGGAGUCAAACCUAGUUGAGAUUUCUACCAGCUAAGGAUAUGGAGACUGAAAUGGCCACCUCCCCUCCCAUGGCCAGGAUGGACCUCCAGUGGAUGGAGGAGGACAUCAACCAACCCACAAAACCUUCAAGCCAAAAUUUGUCCUGUCUACAAGAUGAGCAGAGAUAAAGAUGGAGCAGAGAUUGAGGAAACAGCCAACCAAUGAUUGCCCCAGUUGAGACCCAUCCCAUGUGAGAGAGCCAACCCCUGAUACUAUUAAUGAUUCUCUGCUAUUCUUGCAGAUAGGAGCCUAGCAUAACUGUCUCCUGAGAGGCUCCAUCCAACAAAGGAUGGAAACAGAUCCAGAGACACAUAGCCAAACAUCAGGCAGAGCUUGGGGAAUCUUGUGGAAGAGUGAGAGAUAGGAUUGAGUGAGUCAGAGGGAUCAAGGACACAAAAAGACUACAGACUCAAAUAGCCUGGGCCCAUGGGGGUUCACAGAGACUGAACCAUCAACCAGAGAACAUGCAAGGGCUGGGCUUAUACCCUCUAUACAUUGGUAACAGAUAUACUGCUUGAUCUUCAUAUGGGUCCUUUAACGAUUGGAGUGAGGACUAUCCCUGACUCUGUUGCCUGCCACUGGAUUGAAAUGGUUGGGCUUCAAUGGGCAUGUGCUUAGUCCUACUGGAACUCGAUGUCUCAGGGCUGGGUGAUCCCCAAUGGACGUUUCCCCUUCCCCUCAGAAAAGGGUAUGGGGUAAUAGGAGGAAGGAUUUGUAAGGGUGGAACCUGAGGAGAGGGGCGAUGAUGUUGAGAUGUAAAAUAAACAAACAAACAAAUAAUAAAAACAAAAUGAU